UACGUAGGGGCCUAGCGUUGUCCGGAAUUAUUGGGCGUAAAGAGCUCGUAGGCGGUUCGGCAAGUCGGAUGUGAAAUCUCCACGCUUAACGUGGAGGGGCCAUUCGAACUGCUGUGACUCGAGUCCGGUAGGGGAGUGUGGAAUUCCCGGUGUAGCGGUGAAAUGCGCAGAUAUCGGGAGGAACACCAGUAGCGAAGGCGGCACUCGUGGGCCGGUACUGGACGCUGAGGAGCGAAAGCGUGGGAGCGAACG
rnacentral:rRNA from 1 species